GAGAGUCCAACAGCUGGUCGUAAAGCGUUCAUUCUAAUUGGAAUUUAAGCUUGAAAAUUAGUUAAACACGAUCGUACACUAAAAUAUUGUUGUUGAACUGUGCAUGCCAGUUGGCAAAAUGUUUGCACGCACUUUCAAAGUGGUUUAUCGACCGACAAGAAACAACUUCCUGCUGCUACCCGAUCAGUACUACGGGGUCGUUUCAACUUAUGACACUGGCUGCCUUAAGCUGCAGUACAAUGGCCGGAUGCACUAUGCCUCCUGGGCGCCACAGGCGGGCGGCGGCAUCAAAGAUAACGAAAUUGGGAUCAAUGCCAGGGCGGCCAAGGAGCUUGAUCUACAUGAAAAUGACUUGGUCAAGUGCGCCCUCAUCGCUGACGUUCUCAAUCUGCGCAGCGUUCACGUCACUCCCGUCUCGGCCAAAGAUUGGGAGAUCAUUGAACUGAGUACGGAGAAAAUCUCUGCCAGCGUUUUGGAACAAACUCGUAUUGUGAAUUCUCCGCAAAUUUUGCUUGUUUGGAUUAAUAAGUCAAUGCAAGUGGCGCUGACAGUGGAUCGCCUAAAGCCUUACAUGAAAUUUGGACGCAUUGAUCACAACACGCAGCUAAUUGUGGCGCCAAAUCUGUACAAGAAUCUAACCAAUGGUGAUACCAAUGACAACGACGACAAGGAGAGCGCCAAGCUGUCGCGCAGUAGGACCAGCGCACAUGUGCGGGAUGAUGUGACAAUAUCAGCGCCGCCGGGACUCGCUCACUCUGCCACGAUGGCCACUGUGAAGAACAGUUUGCAGCGCAACAAGCGGCAGGAUCACAUGGAGCGUCUGAAGAAGGAUUUACGGCGUGAGAGCUCGCGUGUGUUUGAGUUUCGCGUCAUUCGGGGAUUGUGGCACGAGAAGGCACAGGAAUCGGAUGUAUACAUAGCUUCAUCGCAUUUGCCGGAAUUCAUGGACUUGGAACAGUUUUACAGCAUGCGCACUGCCGGCGACAAGGAGUACUAUGUGCGUGUGCGCCGAGCCAGCGAGGAUAGCUUUGAUUUGCCGGCCACCAUUCAUCCGUCCAUCAAGCUGAAUGCGAAUCUGAUGAAGCUGCUGAACAUCAAGGAGCUGGAGCGCGUUGUGCUGCGACCAAAGACAACCGUGGUGAACUUUGUGGAGAAGAUUGAGUUGUUCGCUCAUAAGAAGACGCAUUACAAGAUCAUUGAGAAUGCAUUUAAGCGAUUUGUGAUUGAGAAAACACAAAAGGGGCCGAUGUUGCUCAAUCAGGAGGAGGUGGUGCGCCUGGAGGAUGAUCUGCUGGUCACCGUCGGCAUAUUGCCCGAACACUUUCGCUAUUGCGUCGUCGAUGGACAGUUCCUGAAGGAAUCGAAAAUCUAUGCGGCCGAUUUGGUGCGUCCCGUUAACGAAAUCAUCAAGGAACAACCGCCAGCGCCAUCGCCACUGAGUGUUAAGGAUCUAAUCCGGCUGCCAGAGUACGAUAAGAUUGUUGAUGAAGUUGUCAGCGAGCUGCGCAUGAAUCUGUGUCUCAAUGCCCAGAACUCGGUGCUGCGCCAGGGCAAUGUGCUCCUGACAGGAGCCGCCGGCACUGGCAAGACGGUGCUAGUGGAGCGUAUACUAGAGCAGCUGGCCAGUCAGCCGGACUACUGUUACUUUGAUAUCUUCUACUGUUCGCGCAGCAAGGGACGCAAAACGGAGUCCAUACAAAAGGAUCUGCGCAACAUAUUCACCACCUGCCUGUUGCACGCCCCCGCUAUUGUUGUGCUGGAGAAUCUAGAUGUGCUCGCGCAUGCGGCCGGUGAGCAAUCUAGCCAGGAUGGCGAGUACUUCAACCGGAUGGCGGACACCGUCCACCAGCUGAUAAUGCAGUACACCAGCAGCAAUGCCAUUGCCGUCAUUGCCACAGUCAGUGAGCUGCAGACGCUGAACAAGCGCCUCAGUGCGCCACGGGGUCGACAUCUGUUCCAGACCAUUGCCCGACUGCCCAGCCUGGAGCGCGCCGAUCGUGAGAUCAUUCUGCGUGAGCUAUGUGGUCAUAUUGCGACCAGGGAUUUGGACGUAGUCAAGUUCUCCAACCUAACAGAGGGCUAUCGAAAAUGCGAUCUUGUGCAGUUUGUGGAACGCGCCAUUUUCUAUGCCUAUCGUAUCAGCAAAACACAGCCGCUGCUUACGAAUGAGCAACUCAUCGAGUCCCUGGAGCACACGAAUUCCUAUUGCCUGCAGGGCAUUCAAAGCAAUCAAAAGACUGGCUUCGAACCGAAUGAAAUGCGCGUCGAGGAGCUGCCCGGCCUGGAACCUGUGGUUACCGUGCUCGAGGAGGUUCUCAUGUGGCCAUCAACGUACCCAACAAUAUUUAACUCAUCGCCGUUGCGUAAUCAAGCUGGUGUGCUGCUCUAUGGACCACCGGGUACGGGGAAAACGUUUUUGGUCUCGCAACUGGCCAGCUGCUGGAGUCUGCGUAUCAUUUCGGUGAAGGGUCCCGAACUCCUGGCCAAAUACAUUGGCCAGAGCGAGGAGAAUGUGCGCAACUUAUUCAAUAGGGCACGCAGCGCCAAGCCCUGUGUGCUCUUCUUCGAUGAGUUCGACAGUCUGGCGCCGAAGCGUGGCCACGACUCCACGGGCGUAACAGAUCGUGUGGUCAAUCAGCUGCUCACCGAACUCGAUGGCGUUGAGGGACUGCAGGGCGUAACAGUUAUAGCGGCUACAUCGCGACCUGAACUUCUAGAUCCAGCGCUGUUGCGUUCCGGUCGCAUAGAUCGCUUGGUCGAGUGUCCCCUGCCGGAUGCUGUAGCGCGCGUGAGCAUCUUUGAGGCACUGAGCGCAACACUGAAUCUGGAUGAAUGUGUGGACUUCGAUUGGUUUGCGGCUCGAACACAAAACUACACUGGCGCCGAUAUACAGAGCAUUCUGACCUCGGCGAACAUGGCGGCUGUUAAGGAGGCGCUGGCACAAUUCGGACAUGAGGUGUGCAACAAACUGGGCUGCAUUGAGUUCGAGUACAGUCUGAAGGUUCGCAGCACCGAUCAUCACGAAAAUGGAAAAUAAGACUGCGCUUGUCAACAGCAAUAUGAGGCCUACAUAAAAUGGAUAUGCGUGAUACAGCUCAACCACUCACUGCCUCUGAGUAUACCGUUGAACACCUCGGUGGAUCAACCGAAUCUGCUGUUGCUGAACAAUGUGACGCACGAGCUGGAGGGCUGGUACACGUGCAUGGCAUCGAACGCACUGGGAACCAGCAAUAGCAGUGUCUAUGUGCAUGUCGUUGAUCAUCUGCAGGCAUUUGAAGUAACCAAUUGAGGAUUCGGCUUUGUACAAAUGCAGGUGUGCAACAAACUGGGCUGCAUUGACUUCGAGUACACGGUGCAGGUUGACCAACGAACAUUACGGAUCCGAUAAAAACUGCAUUGGCGCCGAUAAGCAAAAACAUUCUGACCUCGGCGAACAAGGCGGCGGUUAAGGAGGCGAUGGCACAGUUCGGAUAUGAGAAACUGCCAAAGAAAAUUUUAGUGAAGCAAAAGCAUCUCAUCGAAUCCUUUGAAUCCACCCG
rnacentral:misc_RNA from 1 species